CUGGAUGACUGUGUAGAAAGGUUUGGCCUGGAGAGAACGUCAGCACUGUAAAUAGAAGUCUAGCAAGAGUGGUAGACGCAGGUCGUCUUCCCUUGCGCAGCGGUGCGGCACUCCGUAAAUUGAGUUUGCUUGAGUUAAAACCACUCCUGAAAUCAAAGCGUCCAAUUGACCAACGGAAUGUCAUCCUCGCCAGUUUUGAACCCGGAAAUCCCCUAUGUGGGUGAUGUGGAAGGUGGCUUGUUUCCUGGGAAAAUGGUGAAGAUUCAGGGAAAAGUUCCUCCGGAAGCUGUACGCUUUGCCAUAAAUUAUCAACUAGGACCGAAUUUGAAUCCCAGAGACGAUAUAGCAAUACACGUGUCCCCUCGUUUUCCUGAAGGAUUUAUUACUAGGAAUCAUAUAGAGGGUAUGAGCUGGGGACCGGAGGAAAAUGAAGGGCCACUAAUAAUUCAACCGGGGCAACGAUUUGAAAUCAUUAUUUUAUGUGAACAACAUUGCUAUAAAAUUGCUGUAAAUGGCAAUCACUUUACGGAGUUCCGUCACCGAUUACCCUUUCAAAAAGUUUCCCAUUUAAUUAUCGAUGGGGAUGUUGAAGUGACUUCUAUUUUCUAUGAGAUUAUACCCGUUGGGCCACCUCGCAGUCCUCGAGAUGCAACACCGGUGCCUGAUGUACCACCUGUAAACAUUGGUCCUCCUCCUCCUGGAGGCAUUUAUCCAACGAUUAGUCCCCAAAUUCCUCCUGGAGGUUAUGGCCCACCACCUGAUGCCUAUGGUGGCUCUGGUGGCUAUAAUCCACCCCGAGCCUAUGGUGCACAACCUGGUAGAGAAAAAGCCGAAGAAGAAGAUGCAUUCGGGGGAUGCCUAGAUAAAAUGGGAUUAGCAUUAGGAGGCCUAGUAGCUGCCGGAGGAGUGGCUGCUGCUAUGCAUGUUAUAAAUAAAAAAAAAGAGGAACAGGAAAAAGAUCACGAGAAAACUGAUGCAUCAAAAUCAGAGUCCGAAGGAGGUGGCUUAGGAGGAUUGGGUGCACUUGGCGCCGCACUAGCUAGCAGCCUUGCUUCAAAUGCUCUUCAAGGAGAUAACAGAUAUCCACAAUCGGGUUAUCCUCAACAGGAAUCUGGUGGAGGUGUAUUAGGCUCUAUCCUUGGUGCACUAGGUGGUGGUGGAGCUCCGCAACAACCAGCUCAUCCGCCACCCGCAGCAGAUCCUCUUGGAGGAGCUCUGGGGUCUAUUCUCGGCGGCGUUUUUGGAGGAGGAGGAAACAGUCAGCCUUCGUAUCAACCAUCUGGUGGUUAUGGAGGAUAUCCACCACCAGGUGGUUACCAACCUUCCGGAGGCUACGCUCCCCAAACUGGAGGAUCAGACUUUCUAUCAGGAAUUGGAUCUGCCAUUGGAUCCUCGCUUCUGAGUUCGGCUUUAGAUGGGCUUGGCAAACGUGGCAAGAACUGAGCCGUUUCUGCGGCAACUUUCAGUGCAUUCUGGCGGCAAACUCCCCAAUGCCAGGGGCUCUGGUAUAUACAAAAUCGCCCGAGUCUGAUAAGCCGGUUCGGCUCUAUUACGAACAGUGAUAUCCAAUUUGAUGGGAAAUGUGGAGCCGAUGACGAAGCGGUCACCACUCGGCAAAUUGGUUGUCUUUGUUAACAACGGGGCAAGAUGAACAUCUCGAUUUGUCUUCAAGUUCGUUGCUCAAAUGCAAAGAUACGAAUAUUUCGAUCGGGUCGACGACAUUCUGUAUGGCCUCCUGAAAUGUAAUGUAUUAUCCAGAGAGAUUUAAUUGUUAUGCGAUAAAAGGUGUAUUAAAAGACGGGAUAUGCAAAAUACCGAA
rnacentral:misc_RNA from 1 species